UGGGGAAUAUUGCACAAUGGGGGAAACCCUGAUGCAGCGACGCCGCGUGAACGAAGAAGGUAUUCGUAUCGUAAAGUUCUGUCCUAUGGGAAGAUAAUGACAGUACCAUAGAAGAAAGCUCCGGCUAAAUACGUGCCAGCAGCCGCGGUAAUACGUAUGGAGCGAGCGUUGUCCGGAAUUAUUGGGCGUAAAGGGUACGCAGGCGGUUUAAUAAGUCGAAUGUUAAAGAUCGGGGCUCAACCCCGCAAAGCAUUGGAAACUGAUAAACUUGAGUAGUGGAGAGGAAAGUGGAAUUCAUAGUGUAGUGGUGAAAUACGUAGAUAUUAGGAGGAAUACAAGUAGCGAAGGAGACUUUCUGGACACAAACUGACGCUGAGGUACGAAAGCGUGGGGAGCAAACAGG
rnacentral:rRNA from 1 species